ACAGCAGCAGCCACGGUAACACGUAGGUGGCAAGCGUUGUCCGGAAUUAUUGGGCGUAAAGCGCGCGCAGGCGGAUAGGUCAGUCUGUCUUAAAAGUUCGGGGCUUAACCCCGUGAUGGGAUGGAAACUGCCAAUCUAGAGUAUCGGAGAGGAAAGUGGAAUUCCUAGUGUAGCGGUGAAAUGCGUAGAUAUUAGGAAGAACACCAGUGGCGAAGGCGGCUUUCUGGACGGCAACUGACACUGAGGCUCGAAAGCCAGGGGAGCGAACGGGAUUAGAUACCCCCGUAGUCCCUGUCUCUUAUACA
rnacentral:rRNA from 1 species